rnacentral:misc_RNA from 1 species
CAUAUCAUCAUCACUUUCUUCCUUAGGUUCCUCCUUCUUUUCCUCAGCAGCAGGAGCAGCCGCGGCAGCAGCUCCACCAACUGGAGCUGCAACAGAAACUGCAGCACCACCACCGCCACCAGCACCAACAUUCAUGAUAAGAUCACCAAGGUUUUUCUUCUCAGCAAGUUUAGCAAACAGUAAAGGCCAGUAAGGUUCUACUGUUACAUUUGCAGUUUUCACCAAAGUUGAAAUUUUCUCUGCGGUGAUUGGAAUAUCCUCAUCGUUGAGGAUUAAACAUGCAUAAGUGCAGGCGAUUUCUCCGUGCGACAUUUGAUCAACUUUGUUCCUUCGAAGUUGUAAUGAGUGCUGGAAGAUGACUUGCGG